GAUGAACGCUGGCGGCGUGCCUAAUACAUGCAAGUCGAGCGAACAGACGAGGAGCUUGCUCCUCUGACGUUAGCGGCGGACGGGUGAGUAACACGUGGAUAACCUACCUAUAAGACUGGGAUAACUUCGGGAAACCGGAGCUAAUACCGGAUAAUAUAUUGAACCGCAUGGUUCAAUAGUGAAAGACGGCUUUGCUGUCACUUAUAGAUGGAUCCGCGCCGCAUUAGCUAGUUGGUAAGGUAACGGCUUACAAAGGCAACUAUGCGUAGCCGACCUGAGAGGGUGAUCGGCCACACUGGAACUGAGACACGGUCCAGACUCCUACGGGAGGCAGCAGUAGGGAAUCUUCCGCAAUGGGCGAAAGCCUUACGGAGCAACGCCGCGUGAGUGAUGAAGGUCUUCGGAUCGUAAAACUCUGUUAUUAGGGAAGAACAAAUGUGUAAGUAACUAUGCACGUCUUGACGGUACCUAAUCAGAAAGCCACGGCUAACUACGUG
rnacentral:rRNA from 1 species